GCCAAGCACAGUAGCACAUGCCUAUAGUCCCAGCUACUUGGGAGGCUGAGGCAGGAGGAUCACCUGAGUCCAGAAAUUCUAGGCUAUAGUGCAUUAAGCCAACUGAAUGUCUGCAUUAAGUUUGACAUAAAUGUGAGGGACCACAAGGUUGCCUAAGGAGAGGUGAACCAGCCCAGGCUGGAAACAGAGUCAAAACUCCUGUCCUGAUCAGCAGUAGGACUGCACCUGUGCAUAACCACUAUCCUCCAGCUUGGGCAUCAUAACAAGACCAUGUCUCU
rnacentral:SRP_RNA from 1 species